UGUUUGAUCAGGAUUUACCUACCAACUGAAGUUGAGGCCUGCCUCAUCAUCAAAGUUUGCACACCAUGAUCAAUCACCUCAAACAUAAUUCUCCACUGUCACACAACACUCAUGUGUUAACAAUGAACUUGUGAAAUUAGCUAAAUCCUAAACUACUGUUCAGUGAUGUGCUUAAACAGAUGCUGCCCUGCUACUGACUAAACAUCAUAAUGACCAUCUGCAACUACCAAAUUGUCGUCAAGAUCUUCAGGUUUUUCCAAGUGACUCAAGAAACAAAAUUGGUGGAAUCAACAUAUACCGUUUCCAGAAUCUU